UGUGGGAGCGGGCUUGCUCGCGAAGACGGAGUGUCAGUCGACAUCAUUGUUGUCCGAUACACCGCUUUCGCGAGCAAGCCCGCUCCCACA
rnacentral:antisense_RNA from 2 species